ACUCAAAUGAAUAGACGGGGACCCGCACAAGCGGUGGAGCAUGUGGUUUAAUUCGACGCAACGCGAAGAACCUUACCUGGACUAGAAUGUGAGGGAAGGUUGGGUUAUACCAACCGUCCGGGAAACCGGACCCAAAACAAGGUGCUGCAUGGCUGUCGUCAGCUCGUGUCGUGAGAUGUUGGGUUAAGUCCCGCAACGAGCGCAACCCUUAUCAACAGUUGCCAUCAUUAAGUUGGGAACUCUGUUGAGACUGCCGUUGAUAAAACGGAGGAAGGUGGGGAUGAUGUCAAGUCAUCAUGGCCUUUAUGUUCAGGGCUACACACGUGCUACAAUGGCCGGUACAAAACGUCGCAAUCUCGCAAGAGGGAGCUAAUCGCUAAAACCGGUCUCAGUUCGGAUUGGAGUCUGCAACUCGACUCCAUGAAGUUGGAAUCGCUAGUAAUCGCAAAUCAGCAUGUUGCGGUGAAUACGUUCCCGGGUCUUGCACACACCGCCCGU
rnacentral:rRNA from 1 species